GUGCCAGCCGCCGCGGUAAUACCGGCAGCCCGAGUGAUGGCCACUCUUAUUGGGCCUAAAGCGUCCGUAGCCGGCCUCGCAAGUCCGUCGGGAAAUCCAGUAGCUCAACUACUGGGCGUCCGGCGGACACUACAAGGCUUGGGACCGGAAGGCUCGAAGGGUACGUUCGGGGUAGGAGUGAAAUCCUAUAAUCCCGCACGGACCACCGAUGGCGAAAGCACUUCGAGAAAACGGAUCCGACAGUGAGGGACGAAAGCCAGGGUCUCCAACCGGAUUAGAAACCCGGGUAGUCC
rnacentral:rRNA from 1 species